rnacentral:misc_RNA from 1 species
GGAGGGAUCAUUAACAACUAAAAACUUCUACUAUCUAUUACUACUAGUAAGUAAUUACUAGUAGUAAUAGUAAGUAAACCUUUUACUACUUACUACUAAGAGAGAUUCGCUCUCUCUCAGUGUGUGGUAGUAAAAUUUACACAAGCAAUUUUAUCAAGAUAAAACACUACUUUCUACCUAGUAGUAAGUAGCGUUUUACUCUAAUUCUUUACAACUGAUAAAGGUGGAUAUCUUGGCUUGGAUCACGAUGAAGAACGUAGCAAAGUACGAUAAUUAUCGGGACCUGCAAACUACGUGACUCGUCAAACUUUUGAAUGCAGACUGCGCCUGGGAAUCUUCGAUUCCACAGGUUCAUCUGAAUCAGUAUCGAUUCUACCGUCAAUUCUUCUAGUAUUACUCUCACGAGUAAUAGCUAGUUGAUUUGGAUUCGUCUUCCCGUUUGCCUAGCAAAUGGUUAGAUUAGAUACAGCUCCUCUUGUAUAGAGUGGUUGCUUGCUAUAUGAGAAUCAUGCUUACUACGAUCUCUCUUCUUCAGCAACUUCUAGUAUUGUAGAGUAAUUAUUUACUUUUCUUUCUAGAGGGAAAAAGAGAUAUCUAGUAUAGUACUCUUAUACAGGUAAUUUCAUUCAAUAUAGGUUGAUUGAGCAUAUAAAGCUAAAUUAACUACUACUACUAGUAGUUAAUUCUAUACUCUUUGAGAGUAAGAGAUGAUUUAUCAUUCUCUUUCUCUCUAACAAUUCGAUCUGAUUUCAGGUGAGAUUACCCGCUGAAUUUAAGCAUAUAAUUAAGCGGAGGAAAAGAAACUAACUAGGAUUCCCUUAGUACCGGCGAGGGAAGAGGGAAGAGCCCAGGCUGAAUCUGUAGUGGUACUCCAUUACCGAAAUGUGGCCUUUGAAUCGAUAUCACGGGAUUGGGUAGUAAAUGUAACUCACUUGGAACAGUGGACCAUAGCGAGUGAUAGUCUCGUAACAUUUAUUAACGUCAAUUCACUACGUGUUAUUGAAUUCUCGAGUCGUGUUGUUUGAGAGUACAGCACAAAAUGGGUGGUAAGUACCAUCUAAGGCUAAAUACUUGAUCCAAGACCGAUAGCGAACAAGUACCGUGAGGGAAAGAUGCAAAGUACUCUGAAAAGAGAGUUAAAAGGACUUGAAACCUUUGUCAGGGAAGCGAUGAUUAGCUACGAUUGAUUACUAUUCAUUCAGCUUUAUAGGUUGAUCAAAGGUGAAUUUAUUGAGCAGGAGUAUUCUUGUCGUGAGUUUAUCUGCUGGUUGGUUUAUGGAGUGCACUUGAGUGGUAAUCACUCAACAUCAGUUAGUUAAAUUGGUUAAGAGUUUAAAGAAGGUAACUCGAUUGCGAUUGAGCGUUAUAUCUUUGAAUCCUCAACAGUUUAACUGACUGAGGAAUCGAAACAAUGGCCCUAGGCAGAGUAAAUAGGCGCUGAGGAUUAUUAACGAUUAUUACUACUUGUAGUAAUGGUUGAUUAAUGGUUUUCACUUGGUCUAUUGCUACUACAUUGUUAGCGAUGUUGAGAGUAGAUAAUGAUCGACCCGUCUUGAAACACGGACCAAGGAGUCUUACGCUAUUGCGAGUUUUAGAGUGGGUUAAACUCUAGGGCGAAAUGAAAGUGAAUCGGUGAUAGAGUGGGAUUUAAUCUUACUUGCCUCAUCAACCGAUCCGAGGACUUGUCUAAGGAUUUGAGUAGGAGCAAUAUCGUAAGGACCCGAAAGAUAGCGAACUAUGCGUGUAUAGGGUGAAGUCAGAAGAAAUUCUGAUGGAGGCUCGUAGCGAUACUGACGUGCAAAUCGUUCGUCAAAUAUGCGUAUAGCGGCGAAAGACUAAUCGAGCUGUCUAGUAGCUGGUUCCCUU